UACGGGGGGAGCAAGCGUUGUUCGGAUUUACUGGGCGUAAAGGGCGCGUAGGCGGUCAGCACAAGUCAGUUGUGAAAUCUCCGGGCUUAACUCGGAAAGGUCAACUGAUACUGUGCGACUAGAGUGCAGAAGGGGCAACUGGAAUUCUCGGUGUAGCGGUGAAAUGCGUAGAUAUCGUUUGGAACGCCAAUGGUGAAAACAGACUGCUGGGGUUGUGCUGACGCUGAGACACGAAAGCCAGGGGAGCGAACGGG
rnacentral:rRNA from 1 species